rnacentral:rRNA from 1 species
CCGCGCCGUCCGAGGACCACACCCAAAACACCCGAGCAAUGCAGUGUCGUCCGAGCGCGAUCGAAUCGACCAAAACUUUCAACAACGGAUCUCUUGGUUCUGGCAUCGAUG